UUUCAGUUCGGCUGGAUACCACACAGGUGCUGCAUGGCUGUCGUCAGCUCGUGUCGUGAGAUGUUGGGUUAAGUCCCGCAACGAGCGCAACCCUUGCCAUUAGUUGCUACGAAAGGGCACUCUAAUGGGACUGCCGGUGACAAACCGGAGGAAGGUGGGGAUGACGUCAAGUCCUCAUGGCCCUUAUAGGUGGGGCUACACACGUCAUACAAUGGCCGGUACAAAGGGUAGCCAACCCGCGAGGGGGAGCCAAUCCCAUAAAGCCGGUCGUAGUCCGGAUCGCAGUCUGCAACUCGACUGCGUGAAGUCGGAAUCGCUAGUAAUCGUGGAUCAGCAUGUCACGGUGAAUACGUUCCCGGGUCUU
rnacentral:rRNA from 1 species